rnacentral:tRNA from 1 species
AUAGCUCAGCUGGGAGAGCGCAACACUGGCAGUGUUGAGGUCAGCGGUUCGAUCCCGCUU